UACGGGGGGGGCAAGCGUUGUUCGGAAUUACUGGGCGUAAAGGGCUCGUAGGCGGCCAACUAAGUCAGACGUGAAAUCCCUCGGCUUAACCGGGGAACUGCGUCUGAUACUGUUUGGCUCGAGUCCGGAAGAGGCGAGUGGAAUUCCCGGUGUAGCGGUGAAAUGCGCAGAUAUCGGGAGGAACACCAAUGGCGAAGGCAGCUCGCUGGGACGGUACUGACGCUGAGACGCGAAAGCGUGGGGAGCAAACAGG
rnacentral:rRNA from 1 species